rnacentral:rRNA from 1 species
AGUGAACGCUGGCGGCAGGCCUAACACAUGCAAGUCGAGCGGCAGCGCGUCCGACCACCCUCGGGUGGUCGGAUGGCGGCGAGCGGCGGACGGGUGAGGAAUGCAUCGGAAUCUGCCUCGUUGUGGGGAUAACGUAGGGAAACUUACGCUAAUACCGCAUACGACCUACGGGUGAAAGUGGGGGACCUUCGGGCCUCACGCGAUGAGAUGAGCCGAUGCCGGAUUAGCUAGUUGGCGGGGUAAAGGCCCGACCAAGGCGACGAUCCGUAGCUGGUCUGAGAGGAUGAUCAGCCACACUGGAACUGAGACACGGUCCAGACUCCUACGGGAGGCAGCAGUGGGGAAUAUUGGACAAUGGGGGGCAACCCUCGAUCCAGCCAUGCCGCGUGUGUGAGAA